CAGGAGAGCUGAGCACUCUGGCGAGACUGCCGCCGGACAAGGCGGAGGAAGGUGGGGAGUGACGUCAAGUCAUCAUGGCCUUUAUGCCCAGGGCUACACACGUGCUACAAUGGCCGGCACAGACGGCAGCUUAGUGGCGACACUUGGCAAAUACCUCUAAAGCCGGUCCCAGUUCGGAUUGCAGUCUGCAACUCGACUGCAUGAAACCGGAAUCGCUAGUAAUCGCAGAUCAGCCAAGCUGCGGUGAAUACGUUCCCGGGCCCUU
rnacentral:rRNA from 1 species